CAACAAGGAGCCUUUCUGCGAGUUGAGUGGGGCCUGACUUCCUCGGGGAACUGUUCUGUGUCCUCGCGCGUGAGAACGCAAGCAAACCUUCCCAUCUGGGUUUGCUAGGUUCCUUGGGAGGGCCGGGCUGGGCCGGCCUGCUGCACGAGUUCCAGAGGGGACAGAGACCUUGGAGUGGGCGGUGGGGACGCUCUCCAGAACCGGGGAGGGGACAAGGAACCCCACGGAGCCCGACCCAGGGGUGGCUGGCCGGACGCUGCUGACGCAGGGCUGCUUCUUGUGGUCGCUGAUUGGAACCCAGCGAAACUAGCUGGUUAGUUCUCUCCACCGCUCAGGGCGGUUGUGGGACUUUGCGGAGGCCGCGGGGGUCGGGUGAGCCCCCCCCCCCCGUGCUCCUUCUCCUGUAGCCGCGGCUGCGCCCCAGAACCUUGGCCCGGCCUGCCUGGGCCCCGAAGCCGGGACCCUCCGGGCGGGUGGCUUGAAAGCCGGCCUCAAAUCCGUCUCAGCCCCUGGAGAGCCCCCCAGCCUGGAGGACAAGUUCAACUUCCCCGCAAGCUCCCCGCCGCCUCUCCUCCUCCCGUGCCCGCCCGGGCGCCCCGCCUGCUGCAGGGCUUCUGAACCUCCGGAGGGCCCAUCUGGGGCCGAGGCCGUCACGACCGGUGGAACUGGUUGCAGCUUGCCUGGAGAGCCGGCUGGGUCAGGCCAGGGAGGCGUCUGUCGCAGAAGGACCCGAGGUUCCCCCCGAGGAAGGACUCAGCUGGGAAGGAGAGAAGGCCCAGACGAUCUUGAGCCUAAGAGGCAGAACACGAUGCCUCUGGUCAUGAGAAUCCAAGUGUAGGGAGAGCUGACUUCCCAUGGGCAGUCUUUCCCCUCAUAGCUCCAGAAAAGCCGUAAAAUGGAAACACAUACAUAUUCCAACCCGAUCCAGACAAAAUUUUCGAGGACCCUAAUACAAAGUUGGGGACACGCCAACUGAUUUCUCACCUAGCUUCAGGGCACCAUCUCAAUUUGACAGUCAUGGCAACUGGCUGUGGUUUCUGGCCCACGGCCAGGUAUUUUGAAGGCCAACGUUCCAUAACUGUGUGAUCACCCCUCAUCUCUCGGCCUCAAAUACCCCCACUGCCUUUCCUUCUUCCUGUCUCCCAUACCCACAUCCCCUCCUUUUAGGACUCACAUUUCAUUUGAAAUCCAAUUUCUCUUUCCUCCUUCAUUAUGUUGACUGGCCCUCAUCACGGCAGCUUCCCUACCCCAACCCCUCUCAGGGACAGGCCCACAGGCAAGGGCUGUACUUGUCAACCUCGGUUAGUCAACCUGGAGUGGAGCUCAACUUCCCUCCCUGGGCAAUUUGUUUCCUCGUAGCUAGGACAACUUCAUGACUAGUAAGCUUUGGGUAGGCAGGAAAGUCCUUUCCUGGGGGCAGGAAAUAGGCUAUUUGCCUUUGGAAUGAACUCUUCCAGUGAUAAAAUGGGGCGUGCCCUAGGUCCCUGCACAGCAAAAAAAAAAAAAAAAAAAAA